CAAAUAUGUCAAGUGUUGGCCUC
rnacentral:siRNA from 1 species